AUGAAACACGGUGAGUAGAAAAAAGAAUUCUUGUUGCUGAGUUUUCCCCUCCCUUUGCCAUUUUCGGAUUGGGCUUAGGGCCAUAAGCCCGUGGUGUUUUGCAUACAUACACCCCUGUUUUGCUUAGGAUACCUGUGUUGAAGCCAACGACAAUACUUUGUGUUUGGACCUUAUCUGUUAGGCCCAAAGCCUAUGUUUCCAGGUUGUACAUCCACUGGUUUAUGCACCCCUGCAUAAUUAAUUUAUAUUCCGUUAAUUCUUGUUUUUU
rnacentral:lncRNA from 1 species